AGCGAACGCUGGCGGCAGGCUUAACACAUGCAAGUCGAGCGGGCAUCCUUGUGGUGUCAGCGGCAGACGGGUGAGUAACGCGUGGGAACGUGCCCUUCGGUUCGGAAUAACUCAGGGAAACUUGAGCUAAUACCGGAUACGUGCGAGAGCAGAAAGGUUUAUCUGCCGAAGGAUCGGCCCGCGUCUGAUUAGCUAGUUGGUGAGGUUACGGCUCACCAAGGCGACGAUCAGUAGCUGGUCUGAGAGGAUGAUCAGCCACACUGGGACUGAGACACGGCCCAGACUCCUACGGGAGGCAGCAGUGGGGAAUGUUGCACAAUGGGGGCAACCCUGAUCCAGCCAUGCCGCGUGAGUGAUGACGGCCUUAGGGUUGUAAAGCUCUUUUCUCCGGGACGAUAAUGACGGUACCGGAGGAAUAAGCCCCGGCUAACUUCGUG
rnacentral:rRNA from 1 species